AUCUGUAAAACAACAGAGAAAGUUCCUGCAGGUGGUGGACACUGCAGACAAGGGUUGAGAAGCAGGAAACAGCAGGACAGCGUCCAGGAGUCUCACACGCAGACAGCUGAUGUCUGAGGAAGACAUAAAGGGAACCCAACACAAAAAUUUCAUAUCCUAUGAUGUCCAUUUUCCCCUCUUUAAUGAACUGGCUUUAACCCUGCAAGACUCUUCCUUAUCAGCGUCUACCUGUGAUUCUAGCGUUUCCCCAACAUCACUUCCAUCAAUUUUAUGAAACACUGCAUCAGGGUUAUUCAGAUCAUGAUGAUUUUUGUGGCCCAAACUAACCAGAGACACUUGGGUAAGGACUACCAGCUUAAGAACUGCCUACAGUUCAGCAUGGCUGGAGUGCUGGGUAGGAGGUAGGAAGCAGUGGGGAAACCCUGGCACUCACCAGUUGGAGACCUUCAGCAAGUACCUCUGACUUUCUGACAUUCCGAUUUCUCAUCCACCUUGAGGAAGCUGUCUCAAGAGGUCAACAAAACUGCACAAAUGAAGACGCUCAACAUUGUGCCGGGAACCUGACCAGCCCUCAGCAAACACUCAUGUUCUCCCUCUGCAUUGCCUUGUAUAUCCUAUAUUACAUUUGAUUGACUGACUGAUAUGUGCACUGGUGAGAUUUUGUCAUCACUCUACCACAUAAGCACAAAACCUGAGAGAAGAACUUAUGUGCUGCAGAGGGACAAAGCAAGGAGACAUUUGUCGAUUUUAAAGACAAGAGUUCCCAAGAAGCUAGUUUCCCAUUGAAUAGAGAGAUAAAAACAGAACAGGAAUGCGAGAUAUUACAUAUGCCGAGGAUGGUAUCUCUGAGACUGAACAGAGCUGGCAUCUGCAAGACAUGCAAAGAUUUUUUAUCCCAGGGCCAAGGGAUUCUGGAAGCCAGCCCUUCCUACAUGUCAUUCAUUCUAGAGAAAUAAAUAAAUUAGACAGUGAAACAGGAGAAUCAGUAUGCCUAAUUGCAGUCUUAAAAUUGAAUUUAUAAAUAAAAAUAAGAAAAUGGAGCACA